UAAGACAUGCAAGUCGAACGGGCUAUAUUAACGGGUAACUGUGCGUAUAGCUAGUGGCGAAAGGGUGAGGAACAGAUAGGUAACGUACCCCGCACUUCGGAAUAGCGCCCUGAAAGGGGCAUUAAUACCGGAUGAUGUCAUGAACUUAAUUGUUUAUGAUCAAAGAUUUAUCGGUGUGGGAGCGGCCUACCUCCUAUCAGCUUGUUGGUGAGGUAACGGCUCACCAAGGCAACGACGGGUAGCGGGACUGAGAGGUUGACCCGCCACAUCGGGACUGAGACACUGCCCGGACCUCCACGGAGGGCUGCAGUAACGAAUAUUGGGCAAUGGGCGAAAGCCUGACCCAGCAAUGCCGCGUGCAGGAUGAAGCCCCUCGGGGUGUAAACUGCUGUCAGGUGGAAAAAAGCCGGUUUCGGCCGGUUGAUUGAUACCAAAGGAAGCCACGGCUAACUUCGUGCCAGCAGCCGCGGUAAGACGAAGGUGGCGAGCGUUGUUCGGAAUCACUGGGCUUAAAGCGCGCGUAGGCGGAAUAUCAAGCGUUUUGUGAAAUCCCCCGGCUCAACCGGGGAAUUGCUUGACGAACUGAUAUUCUUGAGGCAAGUAGGGGUGUGUGGAACUCUUGGUGGAGCGGUGGAAUGCGUAGAUAUCAAGAGGAACGCCGGAGGUGAAGACGGCACACUGGGCUUGUCCUGACGCUGAGGUGCGAAAGCGUGGGUAGCGAACGGGAUUAGAUACCCCGGUAGUCCACGCCGUAAACGAUGUCUACUAGGU
rnacentral:rRNA from 1 species